CUAUUCACGGUGCCUAUACCACGUGACUUUUUAAGAUCUGUGUGGGGAGUAAAAUGUCAACAAAUGCGCGACGAAGGUAUGGUCCAAUGCUCCGACUGCGGAAAAAUGUUGAAGACCAGAGCUGGAUUAUUGCGCCACAUUAUUUGACACGCUAACUCUGGAAACUAUUACUGCUGUGGGAAAGCAUUUCAGGAUGCCUACAAUCUUAGAGGGCUUCAAAGAACGAAGGACCCAAAUGUCACAUGUGUGUACAGUGCGGCAGGAGCUUUGCGGACAAGUACCUACUCGUGGCUCAAGAGAAAAGUGCAAAAAAGAGGGAC